rnacentral:lncRNA from 1 species
CAGAGAGCAGCUGAUGAGGCAGAAGCAGUGGGCAGUGUUCCUGUAGAAGACACAAACACCUCUGUGCCAGCUUCAGAAAAUGAGAAUGGUUUGGAUCUGAAAAUAUGUGACUUAGGGAGUGAGAUACUUAGUGAGAAUGCAGCACAAACCACUGCCAGUAUUGACGAAGAGCUGGGUAUUCAGGAUUCAGUGCACCAGCUGGACUCAUGGGGUUUACAGAGUGAGCAGGGUUGUGAGGAAGGCUGGGAUAAUGCCACUGUCAUCUCUAAGGAAGGAGAAGAAUGUAAGAGAACACAUGUGACAAAUGGGCAGCAGAUGAUUGAUGACAUUUGUAAUAAACCAGUGCAAGAGGGCAAUGAAUCUUCAGGUAAAACGGAUUUGGAAGAAAAUGAACCAACAACUGAAGUUGCCACCUCCCCAGAAAAACAGAGAAAUAGUGUUAGUUUGGAAGUAUUAAUCACAGAGAAUGUGUCAUUUUCCAACCAAAGUAAUCCAGUUAGCCAGGAAGAGAGAAAAGACAUGUUGCAGAACAGUUUAGAAUCUUCAAGUAUUUCUGAAGGAGGCAGAGAUUAUGAAUUUUUUGAUGACCUCUUACCACAAAAGUACAAUUAUAGUGAAAUGUCACAGCUGCUUUGUGAGGAAGCUGGAAAAGAGGCUACAGUGACAGAGGAUGCAACAAGUCCCAAGAUGGAAAGUAUUUAUGAAAGUUCUGAUAAGGGUAGUGAUAAUCCUGAGAAUAAUUCUUCUAAAAUACCUGGAAGCUCAGGUGUCCGGAAUGACUCUGGAAAGAAUGUUUGCGGCCAAGCCAUAUCAAUUCUUUUCAUGGAUAAAAUACAAGAAACUCUUGGAGAAGGGCAAGAAUGCUUACAUGAAGUGACUCCUAACCAUCCAGACAUUUGUAAUUCUGAUUUACUGUAUUUUAAAAAUAGCUUAGAACUGAUGAGGACAAAUGAAAAUUCUUUCACAGAUGAGUUUAAGAAAAAUCCUUCUGGAUUUGUUAGUGUUCCUGAUAUUACACAUAUGUCUGUGGUGGAAAAUUCAUUUUCACUUGAAAUAGCUUCGGGAAGAAAUGAAAACUCUGAAAAUGUAGAACCUGCAACUAAUCUUUGUGGAGAGCCAUUUGCAGUGCUUAAUGACAAUUUUCCCCAAACUGCUUGGCAUUCACAGCCGUGUGAAGAUUUGCAGUCUCCUGGAACAAGUCCUGAGGCAAGCGAAGUCCUUGAAAUAGCAAAUACCACAAGCAGUCUUUCAAAAGAUAUACAGAUCAAAAGCUAUUUGGAAGAAGAUAAUAUGUGGAGUAAUUCAAUAAAUUAUUAUACACACUCAAGUGGAACAAGUCCUGACUUAAGUGAUACAUCUGUGAAUGUGUGGGGAGACCUUCCAGUUGCUAGUCAUCAUGAAAGAAGCAGGGAUGUGUGGGAGAUGAAAAAUAAUAAAAAUCUUGUGGAUUCCUUUAAAAAGCAGGAAUUUGGGAAUGAAUAUGAAGAAGGAUUUGAAACAAGUGGCGAAGAAAACAAAGUUCCUAAAAGCUUAGAUUUUUGGAAUGCCCAUGUAGAUGAUGAUACUGUAUCUUCUUUAUCAAGUCCUGAGAUAAAUGAGGAUUCAGAGAAUUCAGAGGCAUGUCCAGAAGUGAUUAAUGAAGAUUCAGUGUGUG